GAUGAAGAACGUAGCGAAAUGCGAUAAGUAGUGUGAAUUGCAGACUUUAGUGAAUCAUCGAAUCUUUGAACGCACAUUGCGCCCGCUAGUAUUCUGGCGGGCAUGCCUGUCCGAGCGUCAUUUCAACCCUCAAGCCCCCGGGCUUGGUGUUGGGGAUCGGCGAGCCUCCGCGCCCGCCGUCCCCUAAAUCUAGUGGCGGUCUCGCUGUAGCUUCCUCUGCGUAGUAGCACACCUCGCACUGGGAAACAGCGCGGCCACGCCGUUAAACCCCCAACUUCUGAACGUUUGACCUCGGAUCAGGUAGGAAUACCCGCUGAACUUAAGCAUAUCAAUAAGCGGAGGA
rnacentral:misc_RNA from 1 species